AUUUCAUUCGGCGAUGGGGUUCCGCCUUACAACCGCUCCUUUUUUGGUGCUGAUGACUCCUACUUCAAC
rnacentral:ncRNA from 2 species